rnacentral:rRNA from 1 species
UCAAGUGACUAAGUGCAUGCGGCGGAUGCCUUGGCGAUCACAGGCGAAGAAAGACGCGGCAGCCUGCGAAAAGCUGCGGGGAGCUGGCAAACGAGCUUUGAUCCGCAGAUAUCUGAAUGGGGGAACCCACACCGCAAGGUGUAUCCGUAGCUGAAUACAUAGGUUACGGAGGCGAACGAGGAGAACUGAAACAUCUAAGUAUCCUCAGGAAAAGAAAUCAACCGAGAUUCCGGCAGUAGCGGCGAGCGAACCCGGAGGAGCCUAGCUUUUGAUAGUACGAACUUUAGCCGAAAGGUCCUGGAAAGGCCUGCUAUAGUGGGUGAUAGUCCCGUAGGCGAAAGAGUUGGUACGGUACUAAGGAAGCGAGAAGUAGAGCGGGACACGUGGAAUCCUGUUCGAAGACGGGGGGACCAUCCUCCAAGGCUAAAUACUCGUGAUCGACCGAUAGUGAACCAGUACCGUGAGGGAAAGGCGAAAAGAACCCCGGGAGGGGAGUGAAAUAGAACCUGAAACCGCAUGCAUACAAACAGUAGGAGCCUCGUCAGAGGUGACUGCGUACCUUUUGCAUAAUGGGUCAGCGACUUACAUUCUGUGGCGAGCUUAACCGAAUAGGGGAGGCGCAGCGAAAGCGAGUUCGAAAUGAGCGUUCAGUCGCAGGGUGUAGACCCGAAACCAGAUGAGCUAUCCAUGGCCAGGUUGAAGGUGUGGUAACACACACUGGAGGACCGAACCGACUAGUGUUGCAAAAUUAGCGGAUGAGCUGUGGAUAGGGGUGAAAGGCCAAACAAAUCUGGAGAUAGCUGGUUCUCCCCGAAAACUAUUGAGGUAGUGCCUCGUGUGUCGCUCCAGGGGGUAGAGCACUGUUUUGGCUAGGGGGACAUGGAGUCUUACCAAACCAAGGCAAACUCCGAAUACCUGGAAGCGUGAGCACGGGAGACAGAGCACCGGGUGCUAACGUCCGGACUCAAAAGGGAAACAACCCAGACCGCCGGCUAAGGUCCCAAAUAACAGCUAAGUGGAAAACGAAGUGGAAAGGCCGUGACAACCAGGAAGUUGGCUUAGAAGCAGCCAUCCUUCAAAGAAAGCGUAAUAGCUCACUGGUCGAGUCCUUCUGCGCGGAAGAUGUAACGGGGCUAAGCUGUUAACCGAAGCCGCGGAUGCACUGGUUAUCCAGUGCGUGGUAGGGGAGCGUUCUGUAAGUCUGCGAAGGCGGUUCGAGAGGACUGCUGGAGAUAUCAGAAGUGCGAAUGCUGACAUGAGUAACGUUAAAGCAGGUGAAAAGCCUGCUCGCCGUAAGCCCAAGGAUUCCUGCUCUACGUUCAUCGGAGCAGGGUGAGUCGGCUCCUAAGGUCAGGCCGAAAGGCGUAGCCGAUGGGAAUCAGGUUAAUAUUCCUGAACCUGCGUCAGAUGCGAUGGGGGGACGGAGCAUGGAAGAUCAUCCGGGUGUUGGAAGUCCCGGUUGUUUAGCGUAGGAGGUCUGCAGGCAAAUCCGCAGACGCAUCUCCAAGGCAAAGACACGUGCCGCCACGGCGGCGAAGUGAUCGGAAGUGCUUCCAAGAAAAGCCUCUAAGCACCAGUCUGAUGCGGACCGUACCGCAAACCGACACUGGUGGGCGAGCUGAAUAUGCUCAGGCGCUUGAGAGAACUCGGGAGAAGGAACUCGGCAAAUUGACACCGUAACUUCGGAAGAAGGUGUGCCGUAGUACCGUGAGAGGAGAGACACCUUGAGCGGGAAACGGUCUCAGAGAAUAGGUGGCUGCGACUGUUUAUUAAAAACACAGCACUCUGCAAAGUCGAAAGACGACGUAUAGGGUGUGAUGCCUGCCCGGUGCUGGAAGAUUAAUUGAUGGGGUGAGAGCCCUUGAUCGAAGUCCCAGUAAACGGCGGCCGUAACUAUAACGGUCCUAAGGUAGCGAAAUUCCUUGUCGGGUAAGUUCCGACCUGCACGA